UACGUAGGGUGCAGGCGUUAAUCGGAAUUACUGGGCGUAAAGCGUGCGCAGGCGGUCUCUUAAGACAGGUGUGAAAUCCCCGGGCUUAACCGAGGAACUGCCUGUCAAACUGCAUGGCUUGAGACCGGGAGAGGUGAGUGGAAUUCCCAGUGUAGCGGUGAAAUGCGUAGAUAUUGGGAGGAACACCAGUGGCGAAGGCGGCUCACUGGACCGGUACUGACGCUGAGGCGCGAAAGCGUGGGUAGCAAACAGG
rnacentral:rRNA from 1 species